rnacentral:rRNA from 1 species
CCAGGCUUGAACAGCGAGUGACCCACUCCGAAAGGGGUCUUCCGCAAGGACACUCGUAGAGGUGCUGCAUGGCUGUCGUCAGCUCGUGUCGUGAGAUGUUGGGUUAAGUCCCGCAACGAGCGCAACCCUUGUUUGCUGUUGCCAUCACGUUAUGGUGGGCACUCUGCAAAGACUGCCGGUGAUAAACCGGAGGAAGGUGGGGAUGACGUCAAGUCAGCAUGGCCUUUAUGUCUGGGGCUACACACGUGCUACAAUGGCCGGUACAAACCGUCGCGAUACCGUCAGGUGGAGCUAAUCGGAGAAAGCCGGUCUCAGUUCGGAUUGCAGGCUGCAACUCGCCUGCAUGAAGUUGGAAUCGCUAGUAAUCGCGGAUCAGCACGCCGCGGUGAAUACGUUCCCGGGCCUUGUACACACCGCCCGUCACAUCACGAAAGCCGGUUGUACUAGAAGUCGCCAUACCAACCCGCAAGGGAGAGAGGCGCCUAAGGUAUGGUCGGUGAUUGGGGUG